UGAGCAACCUGCCCUUGACUCUGGAAUAACAGCUGGAAACAGCUGCUAAUACCGGAUAUGACCUCCGAUGGCAUCAUCUGGAGGUGGAAAGCUCCGACGGUCAAGGAUGGGCUCGCGGCCUAUCAGCUUGUUGGUGAGGUAACGGCUCACCAAGGCUUCGACGGGUAGCCGGCCUGAGAGGGUGACCGGCCACACUGGGACUGAGACACGGCCCAGAUCCCGUAACGGGG
rnacentral:rRNA from 1 species